UUCCGUAGGGUGAACCUGCGGAAGGAUCAUUACUGAGUGCGGGCUGCCUCCGGGCGCCCAACCUCCCACCCGUGAAUACCUAACACUGUUGCUUCGGCGGGGAACCCCCUCGGGGGCGAGCCGCCGGGGACUACUGAACUUCAUGCCUGAGAGUGAUGCAGUCUGAGUCUGAAUAUAAAAUCAGUCAAAACUUUCAACAAUGGAUCUCUUGGUUCCGGCAUCGAUGAAGAACGCAGCGAACUGCGAUAAGUAAUGUGAAUUGCAGAAUUCAGUGAAUCAUCGAGUCUUUGAACGCACAUUGCGCCCCCUGGCAUUCCGGGGGGCAUGCCUGUCCGAGCGUCAUUGCUGCCCAUCAAGCCCGGCUUGUGUGUUGGGUCGUCGUCCCCCCCGGGGGACGGGCCCGAAAGGCAGCGGCGGCACCGUGUCCGGUCCUCGAGCGUAUGGGGCUUUGUCACCCGCUCGACUAGGGCCGGCCGGGCGCCAGCCGACGUCUCCAACCAUUUUUCUUCAGGUUGACCUCGGAUCAGGUAGGGAUACCCGCUGAACUUAAGCAUAUCAAUAAGCCGGAGGA
rnacentral:misc_RNA from 1 species